GGAAGUAAAAGUCGUACCAAGGUUUCCGUAGGUGAACCUGCGGAAGGAUCAUUAUUGUAUAACCGAGGUGCGAGGGCUGUCGCUGACCCGAAAGGUCGUGCACGCCCGAGUGCCCUCACACACAUCCAUCUCACCCCUAUGUGCACCACCGCGUGGGUCCCCCUUUGGCUUGUUCGGAGGGGGGCUUACGUUUUCACACAAACUUUGUAUGCAGUGUAGAAUGUAUUUUUUGUUUUUGCGAUCACGCAAUCAAUACAACUUUCAACAACGGAUCUCUUGGCUCUC
rnacentral:misc_RNA from 1 species